AAUGGCAGUGGGAGAUGUCGGCACUGGAGUCGUGGCCGUGGCGGGGAAGACGAAGCCGGCGGAGCUAUGCCGGUGGCUCAAGAGGAAGACAAGGAAGGAUGUGAAGAUUUUUUGUCCUCGUCCACCGGCUGAGAAUCUUGUUAAGCAGGACCCCCAAACAAAACCUUUCCAAGCUAUCAAAGUAAUGCCCAAGUAAGGAAACCUCUACCAGCAAUCACCUACUCUCCAGGACGCAGUACAAAACAUUGCAGGAUAUUAGAGAAAUGAGGGAAAACGCAAUGGGAGAAAAGUUUGCACCCACGAUGAACAAAGGUCCUUUCGAUGGGGUGGAUUCACUGCCCCCGUCCUCCUUUUGCAUGUG